CUUUUCAUUUGUGAUUUGCUUAUUUGGAUUCUGUCUCUCUGACUUUUAUAUUGGGAGGUUCUAACCUCAAUGAUCCUGGUGCAGUGGGACUCUAGUGGAUAUCCUUGGGCUGAACAAUUGAAUUCAGGAUGUGGUACCACAUGUCUCCUAGCAGUUUGGUGUCAGCCUGGGGAGGAGGUACAACUGGAACAGUCCGUUGGUGACCUUUGUUCGGAUUUAGUCAGCUUGGGGAGGAUGUCCAGCUUUAUGUUUAUGUUUGUCUAUUCUUUUUCUGUCCUAACAAGCUUCUCUGGAUAGCUCAUCUCCUAUAAAAUGGAAGUCCAGUCCUUUGUUUUACAUAUCAAUCCAGUCAUUUACUCCUGGUUUUCUUUUGAUUAUCUUAUGAAUCAUCAUCCCAUGACCCCAGGCCUAUGAUUCCUUUUUUUAAAUUUAAUUUUAUUUUUAAUUGAUAUUGUUCACUCCAUAUUCCAUUCCCCG
rnacentral:lncRNA from 1 species